ACUUAUAAGAGUAAACAAUCACUUUAUUAUACCAAUUUGGCUUAUAAAAAUAUUAUUUGAAGACAUGUCAAAUUCAAAGGCUAACAAUGUCUAUGAAAAUAAAAUACAACCUUCAAUGUACAACAUCCAUUUGGUUCUCUACCUAAAACAAGCAAAAUUAAAACAUCAACUGAAAGUAUUUUCCCAGGAAUUUAUGCAACCUUCUCAAUUUAAGUCGGAGGGUGGUUAAUAUGACAAAUACAAAUUUUAAUGCCUCCACUGAGAAG